UGUAGUCAUAUGCUUGUCUCAAAGAUUAAGCCAUGCAUGUCUAAGUAUAAGCAAUUAUACAGCGAAACUGCGAAUGGCUCAUUAAAUCAGUUAUCGUUUAUUUGAUAGUACCUUACUACAUGGAUAACCGUGGUAAUUCUAGAGCUAAUACAUGCUAAAAACCCCAACUUCGGAAGGGGUGUAUUUAUUAGAUUAAAAACCAAUGCCCUUCGGGGCUCCCUGGUGAUUCAUAAUAACUUCUCGAAUCGCACGGCCUUGCGCCGGCGAUGGUUCAUUCAAAUUUCUGCCCUAUCAACUUUCGACAGCAGGGUCUUGGCCUGCCAUGGUGACAACGGGUAACGGAGGGUUAGGGCUCGACCCCGGAGAAGGAGCCUGAGAAACGGCUACUACAUCCAAGGAAGGCAGCAGGCGCGCAAAUUACCCAAUCCCGACUCGGGGAGGUAGUGACAAUAAAUACUGAUACAGGGCUCUUUUGGGUCUUGUAAUUGGAAUGAGUACAAUUUAAAUCCCUUAACGAGGAACAAUUGGAGGGCAAGUCUGGUAAUCG
rnacentral:rRNA from 1 species